rnacentral:lncRNA from 1 species
UCAGCAAAAGCUAACAGUACAAAUAAACUUCCUACACCCAAGCGUAUAUGACAAUCGAGUGACGAUCGCAAGAUCGCGACAUACGACUACGUGCACAAGAACAACAAGUUCGGCACAAGAGUGCUGCCGAGCGUAUGUGGAAUUAGUUAGAAUUGUUCUGUUUUUAGUUGCGACACACAUACAUCCAUAUAACGCGCUUUUUCGCGUUAGGCGAGCGUAGUUGGUGACCACUUUGUGAGCGCUGCAUUCAUAACGAAACGAAACGAGCGAGCGAGCGAACGUUGUACGACGGAAGCGAGUUGUGUUUAAUAGCGACCGAGCGAAAGAUCACACUUAGUACCGCGACAGGAUCCGAACACAAAAACAAAAAGUGUUAUUAAUGCGAUUUAAAAGAAAUUUCAACGAAUUUUGUGCAGGAUACAAACGUAUAACGGCGACUUGCAAACGACAAAAUAAAUUAAAUUAAAUUAAUAGCGAGUAAAGUAGAAAAAACAACGAAUUAUUAAUAAAUGCGUAAUUUGAAUAUAUUUUUUUUUAAUAAAAUACGCAAAUUUAAAAAUAUACAAGCGAAUUAUAAUCGAAACGAUUUUGUAAACAUCAACGAAAAAACUGCAUAUAUUUUAACUAUCGAUGCAGUUCAAUACAAAACGAAGAUCUAUAAAGUUUUUAAACGAAAAAUAAAGCGCUGAAAGCGAAACAAAAGCAAACGAAAAGCG